UUAAGUGAUGAUAGCCUAGGGGAGACACCUGUAUCCAUGCCGAACACAGCAGUUAAGCCCUAGCACGCCUGAAGUAGUUGGGGGU
rnacentral:rRNA from 1 species